AUAAGAUCUCAUUAAGGGAGUAAC
rnacentral:snRNA from 1 species